rnacentral:tRNA from 1 species
UGGGGGCAGGGGGACUUGAACCCUCACGACCGUUUAAGUCCGUAGCGUCUACCGAUUCCACCACACCCCCA